GGUGAACGCUGGCGGCGUGCUUAAGACGUGCAAGUCGAACGGGCUCUUCGGAGCUAGUGGCGCACGGGUGAGUAACGCGUAACUGACCUACCCCAAAGUCGCGGAUAACGAUUCGAAAGAAUCGCUAAUACGUGAUGUGCUGUCAGAUCCUGUUCUGCCAGUAAAGAUUUAUUGCUUUGGGAUGGGGUUGCGUUCCAUCAGCUAGUUGGUGGGGUAAAGGCCCACCAAGGCGACGACGGGUAGCCGGCCUGAGAGGGUGGCCGGCCACAGGGGCACUGAGACACGGGUCCCACUCCUACGGGAGGCAGCAGUUAGGAAUCUUCCACAAUGGGCGAAAGCCUGAUGGAGCGACGCCGCGUGAGGGAUGAAGGUCUUCGGAUCGUAAACCUCUGAAUCAGGGACGAAAGACACUUUAUGUGGGAUGACGGUACCUGAGUAAUAGCACCGGCUAACUCCGUGCCAGCAGCCGCGGUAAAAC
rnacentral:rRNA from 1 species